UAUACCCUUCCCCCACUCAGUCUCUGCAUUUUACUCUCUCUUUCUCAAGUCUGUCUCUCGCAAAUGGGAUUUCGUUAGACAAGGCAGGAGCCAAAGGAUCGGAAGGAUACAUAUAUUGGAUUUGGUGGAUGCUUUGAUUUGGGGGAAGAGUCCAUGGAGGAGGGUAUAAUUGAGCAGUUUUCUAAUCAUAUUUAUUGCUAAAUUUCCAUGUGGGCUUGGGACUGCCUUUAUUUAGUACUCUACUCGCAUGUCCGGUUUUGAAGAGAGAUCCCACAUCGCUGAGGAACAACAACAAGAUAGCCUUUACAUACACCAUAGAGAAAGCAUGUGUUUGUCCCUUCGGGGACAUCCGAUAAAAUUGGAACGAUACAGAGAAAUGGUCCAAAUUUUUU